UGCAGUCGACGAUGAAGGAGGAGCUUGCUCCUCCGGAUUAGUGGCGAACGGGUGAGUAAUACGUGAGCAAUGUGCCCUUGACUCUGGGAUAAGCGCUGGAAACGGCGUCUAAUACCGGAUACGACGAUCGGAGGCAUCUCCUGGUCGUGGAAAGAACUUCGGUCAAGGAUCAGCUCACGGCCUAUCAGCUAGUUGGUGAGGUAACGGCUCACCAAGGCGACGACGGGUAGCCGGCCUGAGAGGGUGACCGGCCACACUGGGACUGAGACACGGCCCAGACUCCUACGGGAGGCAGCAGUGGGGAAUAUUGCACAAUGGGCGCAAGCCUGAUGCAGCAACGCCGCGUGAGGGACGAAGGCCUUCGGGUUGUAAACCUCUUUUAGCAGGGAAGAAGCGAAAGUGACGGUACCUGCAGAAAAAGCACCGGCUAACUACGUGCCAGCAGCCGCGGUAAUACGUAGGGUGCAAGCGUUGUCCGGAAUUAUUGGGCGUAAAGAGCUCGUAGGCGGUUUGUCACGUCUGCUGUGAAAACCCGAGGCUCAACCUCGGGCUUGCAGUGGGUACGGGCAGACUAGAGUGCGGUAGGGGAGAUUGGAAUUCCUGGUGUAGCGGUGGAAUGCGCAGAUAUCAGGAGGAACACCGAUGGCGAAGGCAGAUCUCUGGGCCGUAACUGACGCUGAGGAGCGAAAGCAUG
rnacentral:rRNA from 1 species